rnacentral:rRNA from 1 species
AUUGAACGCUGGCGGAAUGCUUUACACAUGCAAGUCGAACGGCAGCACGGGGCAACCCUGGUGGCGAGUGGCGAACGGGUGAGUAAUACAUCGGAACGUGCCCAGUCGUGGGGGAUAACGUAGCGAAAGUUACGCUAAUACCGCAUACGAUCUACGGAUGAAAGCGGGGGACCGUAAGGCCUCGCGCGAUUGGAGCGGCCGAUGUCAGCUUAGGUAGUUGGUGAGGUAAAGGCUCACCAAGCCGACGAUCUGUAGCUGGUCUGAGAGGACGACCAGCCACGCUGGGACUGAGACACGGCCCAGACUCCUACGGGAGGCAGCAGUGGGGAAUUUUGGACAAUGGGCGAAAGCCUGAUCCAGCCAUUCCGCGUGCAGGAUGAAGGCCCUCGGGUUGUAAACUGCCUUUGUACAGAACGAAAAGGUUUCUACUAAUACUAGGAGCUCAUGACGGUACUGUAAGAAUAAGCACCGGCUAACUACGUGCCAGCCGCCGCCGUAA